AUGGCGGCCCUCGCCGCCCUCUUCGCCUCCCCGGCCCUCCCCUUUCCCUCCACCUCCGCCUCCUCCUCACCGUCAUGCUCCUGCCGCUUCCGCCGCGCCGUCGCCUGCGCUCCGCGCCACCCGCCCGCCUCACGCCGCGUCACGCGCCGCUUCGACGAGGUGGAGGGGGCGUCGAAGAAGCGGCGGGGCGGCGGCAUUGGUGGCGGCGGCGGCGGCGGAGGGGGCUCUCUGGCGUCGUCAGCGCGCAAGGAUAAGGGGCUUUCCAUCGACUUCAAGGAGUCGCAGGUUGCUGAUUUCGAGGAUCUUGAAGAGGACAAAUUCCUUAAUGCUGUUGUUAAGGUCUACUGUACUCAUAUUAGACCUGAUUAUGGGCUUCCUUGGCAGAAGCAAAGGCAACAUUCAAGCACUGGGAGUGCCUUUAUGAUUGGUGAUAACAAACUAUUGACAAAUGCACAUUGCGUUGAACAUGACACCCAGAUUAAAGUAAAGCGAAGAGGAGAUGACAAAAAGUACGUCGCCAAGGUCUUAGCUAGAGGCACAGAAUGUGAUCUUGCGAUGCUUUCUGUCGAGAAUGAAGAGUUCUGGCGAGGUACAGAACCACUUCAACUUGGUCGUUUGCCAUGUCUUCAGGAUUCAGUAACUGUUGUCGGGUAUCCUCUUGGUGGAGACACUAUAUCUGUGACAAAAGGCGUUGUAUCACGCAUUGAGGUCACACCAUAUGCGCAUGGAACAUCAGAUCUUCUUGGGGUUCAAAUUGAUGCAGCAAUAAACGCAGGAAACAGUGGUGGACCGGCUUUUAAUGAGCAAGGGGAAUGCAUUGGAGUAGCAUUUCAGGUGUUCAGGUCAGAUGAAGCUGAAAAUAUUGGAUAUGUUAUUCCAACUACAGUUGUAUCCCAUUUUUUGAAUGACUAUCGGAAAAAUGGAAAAUACACAGGAUUUCCUUGCCUGGGCGUCCUACUUCAGAAAUUGGAAAACCCAGCACUGCGUGAAAGCUUGAAGGUGCCUUCAAGUGAGGGUGUUCUUGUCCGCCGGGUUGAGCCUACAGCUCCAGCAAGCAGUGUUCUGCGAAAGGGAGAUGUGAUAACAAGUUUCGACGGUGUCUCGGUAGGAUGUGAAGGAACAGUACCAUUUCGGUCCACUGAGCGGAUUGCUUUCCGCUACCUCACAAGUCAAAAGUAUGCAGGUGAUGUUGCCCAACUAGGUAUCAUUCGGGAAGGCAAGGUCAUGAAAGUGCAAACCAUUUUGCAUCCAAGAAAACAUUUAGUGCCAUUCAAUGUUGAUGGGGGUCAACCUUCUUAUCUGAUAGUUGCCGGCCUUGUCUUCACGCCUUUAACAGAACCAUUUAUAGAGGAAGAGUGCGAAGAUACUUUAGGGUUAAAACUGUUGGCAAAGGCACGAUACUCUCUAUCAACCUUCGAAGGGGAGCAAAUCGUAAUUGUAUCUCAGGUACUGGCGAACGAUGUCAACAUCGGGUACGAGCACAUGGGCAAUCAACAAGUCAUAAAACUAAAUGGAACUAUGAUAAAGAACAUCCACCACCUUGCUCAUCUAGUGGACACCUGUCAAGACAAGUUCUUGACAUUCGAAUUCGAAGACGACUUCCUCGUUGUUUUGGAUCGGGAAGAAGCAGCGGCCGCAUCGUCAGAUAUCCAAAAGGAGCAUGCCAUCCCCUCUGUAAGGUCAUUGGAUUUGUCUGAGCCCUACGUCGACACAAACCAUGAGGUCCAAAACCAAGGCGAGGAUUUCGGCGACAGUCCCGUGACAAACUUUGAACUGGGUGUUGAUUGUCUGCUGUGGGCGUGA
rnacentral:rRNA from 1 species